CAGGGCCUUGCUGUCAACGUGAUCUGAUGUUUUUGGUUCUCUCCCAUUUCUGGAGUGUGUGAGUAAGACUCCAGCCCCAACACUACAAAUUAGCAUGGGAUAUGGGUGUCUGCAUUCAAACUGACUCGUUUCAAAUGGUUCUUCUCAUCCCUGUACAGAGUUCUUCUCUUCUCGUCUGUGGAACUUUGGGGGGUUUUGCUGUGACAUUUCCAUGGACCACUCAAUGCCAUAACCAGAGAAAUCUUACACUGGGCAUUUUGUCUUGCAAAUGCCCUUGCACGUGUGCGCAUGCUGUUGACAACGGAUGACAGGGUCCAUCAGUAUCCAAGGUGGAGCAUUUGUAUAGGAUUCAAAGUGGAGUUGAGGCAAGUACCAGAAAGCAGAGAUCCCUUAAUUCUGCUCUUGGUUUCGUGGCUUUGAACCAGAAAUCUUCCAGAGCAGAAUGCCAUUCAGUGCGGCCAGUCGGACCGUAAGAACAGCCCUACUGCUGAAGGCCAGAGGUAUAUCCAGCCCACCUAGCCCCAUUCACUUCAGUCUUACAACCCCUGAAAACACCUCAUUUUCCCAGCUGGUGACUGUCUAUUUUGUCUCUUCUCAUGUGGAAGCUAUUUCAUGACUUAGCUCAUACCUGAUACAUUUUCUCAUUGUACUGCUUUCUCGGUGAGGAUAAAAGCACAUAGAGCAUCCAAGAUCUUGGAGCUUGUGGUUUUUAUGUAGCCAUUUAGAAACAUGCUCAGUAUUUCUCCUUGUUCCUCUCCUUAUCUGUCUUUUUGACUGCUGCAGAGCACUGAGCUUAUGUUUCAUUUAUUCCUCCUUUAGUUAGAAGCACGUGAACUACAGCACUUUAAUGGAUUAUUGUGUGUCAGCUAACCUCCCAUAACUGAACAUGUACAGAUCCAGAAUAGGAAUGUACUGAAACACGUAAGUCUAAACCACCAUAGUUGUCACAGCAGUUUGCCGUGCAGUCAGAGGAGGGUCAGUUAUGCCCAUUCAGCCAACUGGCAGUAACUCACUGCAACACAUCACAACACUUCAGAGGGUCCAUUUGAGAGCACAGAAGGUCUGUUUUUGCUUGGGGCAAGCAUUGUGGUGUUAGCUUAUCACACAGUGUAGGAACUUUUGACUCCUUUCAGUUUCAGAUGUACAGAAAUACCCAACACGAAUCAGAUCUGAAAGAACUCAUGGUGCAACCAGCUCCAUGUUAUGCCCCCCACAUAGCCACCAGCUCACCAGAUCUCCCUAGACAUGCACAUGGAGAAAGCUGCAGAGAUUAGAUUUUUUUUUCUGGAGGUGCACUCUGCCCUGUUUCCAUCAUUACUUCUUCUCCUGUCAUACAGCAAAAAUACUGGCAUCCAGGAAAAGCUGUGGUUAGGAAGAAGUCCGCAGCAGGUAGCAGGGAGAAAGCUGUGCCACAGGAUCCCAGAAUAAUCCAGGUUAGAAGGGACCUCUGGUCAAAUGUCCUCUUCAAAGCAGGUCCAAAAGAAUAACUUACUCAGGACCUUGUUCUGUUGUGUUCUGAACCUCUCAGGGCUUUGUUCUGUUGUGUGUUCUGAGCAUCUCAAAGGAUAGAGAUCCUGUUAAAUCUUUGGGAUCCCAUUUCACACUGAUUUAUUUUUUAGUUUCCUUACAUCAAGACAGCAUUUCCCAUGUUAGAAAUAGCAUGGUUCUUUUUUUUUUCUUUUUUUUUCUGUUGCUGUGCAUCUUUAAGAAGAAAAAGUUUGGCACUUCAAGAAAAUUCUGUGAAUCCUACCAACCCCUGAACAAAAUUGGGCUCCUCUAUUACACUCACCCAAGCACAUGAAUCAGGUUGGAUAUUAGGAAAAAUUUCUUCUGAGAAACAGUGGCAAGGCAUUGGAAUUGGCUGACCUCGGAAGUGGUGGAGUCACCAUCCCUGGAGGUGUUCAAUAAAUGUGCAGAUGUGGCACUGAGGGACA
rnacentral:lncRNA from 1 species